AUUGAACGCUGGCGGAAUGCUUUACACAUGCAAGUCGAACGGUAGAGGGGGCAACCCCUUGAGAGUGGCGAACGGGUGAGUAAUAUAUCGGAACGCGCCCAGUCGUGGGGAUAACGUAGCGAAAGUUACGCUAAUACCGCAUACGAUCUAAGGAUGAAAGCGGGGGAUCGCAAGACCUCGCGCGAUUGGAGCGGCCGAUAUCAGAUUAGGUAGUUGGUGAGGUAAAGGCUCACCAAGCCAACGAUCUGUAGCUGGUCUGAGAGGACGACCAGCCACACUGGAACUGAGACACGGUCCAGACUCCUACGGGAGGCAGCAGUGGGGAAUUUUGGACAAUGGACGCAAGUCUGAUCCAGCCAUUCCGCGUGCAGGAUGAAGGCCCUCGGGUUGUAAACUGCUUUUGUACGGAACGAAAAGGUUUCUAUUAAUACUAGGAGCUCAUGACGGUACCGUAAGAAUAAGCACCGGCUAACUACGUGCCAGCAGCCGCGGU
rnacentral:rRNA from 1 species